GUAAACGUUGGGCACUAGGUGUGGGGGCCGUUGUGGUUUCUGCGUCGUAGCUAACGCUUUAAGUGCCCCGCCUGGGGAGUACGGCCGCAAGGCUAAAACUCAAAGGAAUUGACGGGGGCCCGCACAAGCGGCGGAGCAUGCGGAUUAAUUCGAUGCAACGCGAAGAACCUUACCAAGGCUUGACAUGUGGAGGAAGCAUGCAGAGAUGUGUGUGCCUUUUUGGUCUUCAUGCAGGUGGUGCAUGGUUGUCGUCAGCUCGUGUCGUGAGAUGUUGGGUUAAGUCCCGCAACGAGCGCAACCCUUGUCUCGUGUUGCCAGCAUUUGGUUGGGGACUCACGGGAGACUGCCGGGGUUAACUCGGAGGAAGGUGGGGAUGACGUCAAAUCAUCAUGCCCCUUAUGUCUUGGGCUUCACGCAUGCUACAAUGGCCGGUACAGAGGGUUGCGAUACUGUGAGGUGGAGCGAAUCCUUUAAAGCUGGUCUCAGUUCGGAU
rnacentral:rRNA from 1 species